rnacentral:rRNA from 1 species
GACGAACGCUGGCGGCGUGCCUAAUACAUGCAAGUCGAGCGGACGAAUCGAAAGCUUGCUUUUGAUUCGUUAGCGGCGGACGGGUGAGUAACACGUGGGCAACCUGCCCUGUAGACGGGGAUAACACCGAGAAAUCGGUGCUAAUACCGGAUAACACGAAAUGUCGCAUGACGUUUCGUUGAACGACGGCGCAAGCUGUCGCUACAGGAUGGGCCCGCGGCGCAUUAGCGAGUUGGUGAGGUAACGGCUCACCAAGGCGACGAUGCGUAGCCGACCUGAGAGGGUGAUCGGCCACACUGGGACUGAGACACGGCCCAGACUCCUACGGGAGGCAGCAGUAGGGAAUCUUCCGCAAUGGACGAAAGUCUGACGGAGCAACGCCGCGUGAGCGAAGAAGGCCUUCGGGUCGUAAAGCUCUGUUGUUAGGGAAGAACAAGUAACGCAGUAACUGGCGUUACCGUGACGGUACCUAACGAGAAAGCCACGGCUAACUACGUGCCAGCCGCCGCAGUAA